AUAAUCCGAUAGUUUUUUUCGGGUCAGUCGUAGUAGGAUCUAACAACUAUGCCAUUAGGGGCUUUAUACAUUUGCGCGAGAAUCCCCUGGUGAGGUCCACAGAAGGGGGAAGUUUGGGGCAUAGGAGGCUCGUUCCAUAACUCUGGUAUGGUUUGCUGGAAGCUGGUUCAAUGUCCCUAGCUUCGUUUUGGUUUGUGGGGCUAUGGGAUAUCUCCUCAAGAAUAAAAGAGGGAUUAGCCCAAUGUUAGUUGGAAUUGGGCAAGCCUAAUGGGUCGUUUCGGGAUAAAUCUCCCGAGCUCCAUAGCUAAAAAGGGAAAAGUGAAAAUCUCACAAUUUUGCCCCCUCUAAUAUGAUAUUAGCGGUUUCAGAAGGCAAAAAAAAAUUAAGUAAUUCUUCGCUUAUUGUUCAGUCUUCCCUAAGGGUUUCGAAUUUGAUAGAGAUAAGCUUGUCUUGUUAUGGAUGGCAGAAGGUCUUGUCAGGCAACCGAGGAGGCAGAAGAAAAUGGAAGAAGUAGGGGAUGAGUCUUUUCGUGAUCUAUUAUCUAGUUCUUUCUUUCGAAGUCAAGUUGCAAUGAUGAAUUUAUGUUGUGCAUGACCUCAUCAGUGAUUUAGCCCAAUUUGUUCUUGAUUUAGCCAUUGGCUUUUUGCAACCCCUGACAGAAAUGGAAGAUUUAGUCAUUGAUGGUUGUGGUGACAUCACCAAGUUGUCCAACCAAGCUGGAUUGCAGCACCUGAGUUCUCUUCAAAAGUUGCAGAUAUACAGUUGUUAAGUAUUAGAGAAUUUACCCCAAGAGCUGCACAAACCAUCAUCUCUGACCUUCCUGGAAUUUCAGGGGUGUCCGAGUAUGCAAGUUCAUUCCCGGAGAUGGGAUUGCCAACUAUGCUUACACAUAUCACGAUUGAAAUUUUUCAAGCUCUCGAGUGUCUGCCCGAAAGACUGUUGCGUGGCAGCUCUAAUCCUCGGUAUUUGUGCAUCAGUGGGCGUUCAUCUCACACAUCGCCUCCAUAAAGUAUGAUUACAGAAUUGCUUUGUGACCUGCUGGAGAAGGUUAUAAUCUCAUGCUUCAGCUUCAUGGUCGUAGCGUUCCUUUUUCUUUCUCUCCGAGUGCUGUGAUUUAGUGAUCGCUCCUCCAUUGAUCUGGCCAUGUAACAUCAUUAGCAGUUUAGUUUCAUGAUUGAGAUUUCAUGUCUACAAGUAUUAAAGAUCAUUAGAAGUUUCUAAACUAUUAAAGCUUC